rnacentral:rRNA from 1 species
AUUGAACGCUGGCGGCAUGCCUUACACAUGCAAGUCGAACGGCAGCACGGGUGCUUGCACCUGGUGGCGAGUGGCGAACGGGUGAGUAAUACAUCGGAACGUACCUUAUCGUGGGGGAAAACGCAACGAAAGCUGUGCUAAUACCGCAUACGCCCUGAGGGGGAAAGCGGGGGAUCGAAAGACCUCGCGCGAUUAGAGUGGCCGAUGCCUGAUUAGCUUGUUGGUGGGGUAAAAGCCCACCAAGGCGACGAUCAGUAGCUUGGCUGAGAGGACGAUCAGACACACUGGGACUGAGACACGGCCCAGACUCCUACGGGAGGCAGCAGUGGGGAAUUUUGGCCAAUGGGGGAAACCCUGAUCCAGCAAUGCCGCGUGAGUGAAGAAGGCCUUCGGGUUGUAAAGCUCUUUUGUCAGGGAAGAAACACCGGCUCUAACACAGUCCGGGAAUGACGGUACCUGAAGAAUAAGCACCGGCUAACUAUGUGCCAGCAGCCGCCGUAA